GUAUUCGUUUCUGCAGUACAUAUAUUAAAAUUGGAAUGAACAGGGAAGAUUAGCAAGGUCCCUGCGCAAUUAUGACACGCAGAAUCGUGAAGCGUUCCACAUUUCU